UAGGGAAUCUUCCACAAUGGACGCAAGUCUGAUGGAGCAACGCCGCGUGAGUGAAGAAGGUCUUCGGAUCGUAAAACUCUGUUGUUAGAGAAGAACACGAGUGAGAGUAACUGUUCAUUCGAUGACGGUAUCUAACCAGCAAGUCACGGCUAACUACGNGCCAG
rnacentral:rRNA from 1 species